AAAUUGAAGAGUUUGAUCAUGGCUCAGAUUGAACGCUGGCGGCAGGCCUAACACAUGCAAGUCGAACGGUAACAGGAAGCAGCUUGCUGUUUUGCUGACGAGUGGCGGACGGGUGAGUAAUGUCUGGGAAACUGCCUGAUGGAGGGGGAUAACUACUGGAAACGGUGGCUAAUACCGCAUAACGUCGCAAGACCAAAGAGGGGGACCUUCGGGCCUCUUGCCAUCAGAUGUGCCCAGAUGGGAUUAGCUUGUUGGUGAGGUAACGGCUCACCAAGGCGACGAUCCCUAGCUGGUCUGAGAGGAUGACCAGCCACACUGGAACUGAGACACGGUCCAGACUCCUACGGGAGGCAGCAGUGGGGAAUAUUGCACAAUGGGCGCAAGCCUGAUGCAGCCAUGCCGCGUGUAUGAAGAAGGCCUUCGGGUUGUAAAGUACUUUCAGCGGGGAGGAAGGUGUUGUGGUUAAUAACCGCAGCAAUUGACGUUACCCGCAGAAGAAGCACCGGCUAACUCCGUGCCAGCAGCCGCGGUAAUACGGAGGGUGCAAGCGUUAAUCGGAAUUACUGGGCGUAAAGCGCACGCAGGCGGUCUGUCAAGUCGGAUGUGAAAUCCCCGGGCUCAA
rnacentral:rRNA from 2 species